rnacentral:rRNA from 1 species
CCUACGGGAGGCAGCAGUGAGGAAUAUUGGUCAAUGGGCGGAAGCCUGAACCAGCCAAGUCGCGUGAAGGAUGAAGGUAUUAUGUAUUGUAAACUUCUUUAGCAGUGGAGUAAUAAGGUGGUCGUGACCGCCGAUGCAAGUACACUGAGAAUAAGGAUCGGCUAACUCCGUGCCAGCAGCCGCGGUAAU